rnacentral:sRNA from 1 species
AUUAUUUAAUGGAACAGAAUUAAAAUUUCGUAAGGUUUUGUUUUAUCUUUAGAUAGUAAAUUAAUAUUCCUUAGUACGUAAUACAAACAACUGAACUUUUUUUUUUCUUUUUUCACUAACUAAUUUACAUAUCUAUAUAUAUUGAAUUUUGUUUUAUGUAUAAUUCUAUACUAUUUUUUGGUCGUAAUCUCGUUUUCACAUUUUUUAUUGUUAAUUCUCCCAUAAUUAUAUGAAAUAAUAUUUUUCUAAGUCUACGUUAUUUAUUUAAAAAUAAACCAUAGUUAUUUAGGUCAAAUUGCCUUAAGACCACUCUCUCAAAUAAGAGAUCGUCGAUAGUACUUAAGGUCGAAUACAACAAAGUCCCCUGAUCACACAAUAGACUACUGAUGUUUGAUAUUAAGCAAAAAGAAAUAUAAGUAAAGUAAAAGACAAUAAAGCAGUAAAUUGAGUUGUAGAUUCAGGAGAUUAAAGCGGCAUGUAUAGGGAUGGUCUAAGGAAAUAGAUAAAUUGUAGAUUUAGCUAAGAUUAGGAUUGUUAUUGAACCUAUUUAGGCGGGCUUAACCUAGUAUAAUAUGAAAAAAGUAAAAAGGAGUUCGGAAUCCUCUAUGCAGGGAUUGAAUUCUUCUCUCCAAAAAUAUAUCUCUUAAUAAAAACAAGCUUAGGUCUAAACAAUGACCUUUUAAACUAUAUAUAUAAAAAAGUCUUUAAUCUCUAAAACCAUGAAUUCAAUAUAUAUGAGCUUCAUUUUCCCUAAAUUUUACAACUACAUCCUCUCAUUACUAUAAGACAUAUAAGCAUUAUCCAUAUAUUUCAGGUCUUUUCUCAUUCUUCCCAAUCGACCAAAAUCAUAGUUUCAUUUCAUCUACCCUUCCUAUCCAUACACUUUCUUUUUAAUAAAUCGUUUUUUCACAAUCUUCUCAAUAUGUAUAUGAAUUUUUGGUCUUCACAAUUCGUUCUCGAUAGAUCAAUCGUUUUUUUUGUCUUUUUGCAACCUUUCAUUGUGUUUGUCUUCAUUCCCAAAUCUACUCUUCAUGAUUCUCAAUUGUGUGAUCCUUAUGCGGAAGUAUAAACUCUAUUUUGACCAAAAAUAUUUAACAAUAUUUUCCUGUGUUUAGAGGUUGGAGGUAUGAUUAGUAGGCUUAAUUAUAAAGUUCUCGUUCAACAAGAAUACUUUAUUAUGUGAUUGUACCGACCACAAAUUUUAACAAAUAUGUGAUCCAAUUGUUAUAAUGUAAUGGCUACUAAUGUGGUUGAAGUUGAAAUAUUAACAAAUUUAAUGAUACCAAUAAAUAAUUGUCGAUGUUUUUCCAUUUCUUUUAUUUUCAUA